CCAGCCGGCCGGACGGCCGCUGCCGGCAUUCGAGGCUAAGCCCUCCUUAAAGGAGCGGCGGGCUGCAUUCCGGCAGAGGAAAGUCCGGGCUCCCAGAGGACACGGUGGCGGCUAACGGCCGCCGGGGGCAACCCCAGGGAAAGUGCCACAGAAAACAAACCGCCCACCGGCGCACGUCGCCGGCGGGUAAGGGUGAAAAGGUGCGGUAAGAGCGCACCGCGCUUCUGGUAACAGCAGCGGCAGGGCAAACCCCACCGGGAGCAAGAUCAAAUAGGGGCGGGCGUGCGGGCCGGGCCACCGGUGCCGCAGAACGCGUCCACUCGUUCCCGCCCGGGUUGAUUGCACGAGGCGCUUGGCGACAGGCGUCCCAGAUGAAUGGCCGUCCAGAAGGGCACGAGCUCUUUGGACAGAACCCGGCUUACAGGCCGGCUGGUCUC
rnacentral:RNase_P_RNA from 1 species